GGUCCGUGUAGUGUAGUGGUUAGAAUGCUGGACCAAGACCUGGGAGACCAGGGUUCAAAUCCCCACUCGGCCA